rnacentral:rRNA from 1 species
GACGUAGGGCGCGAGCGUUGUCCGGAAUUAUUGGGCGUAAAGGGCGCGUAGGCGGCCUGACAAGUGGAAGCUGAAAUCCCUCGGCUUAACCGGGGAACUGCGUCUGAUACUGGAGGGCUUGAGUUUGGGAGAGGGAUGCGGAAUUCCAGGUGUAGCGGUGAAAUGCGUAGAUAUCUGGAGGAACACCGGUGGCGAAGGCGGCAUCCUGGACCAACACUGACGCUGAGGAGCGAAAGCCAGGGGAGCGAACGGG